rnacentral:rRNA from 1 species
GACGAACGCUGGCGGCGUGCUUAACACAUGCAAGUCGAACGAAGUGGCGAACGGGUGAGUAAUACGUGAGUAACCUGCCCUCCUUUUUGGGAUAAGCCUUGGAAACGGGGUCUAAUACCGGAUAAAGGGGGAUGGGCUCGCGGCCUAUCAGCUUGUUGGUGGGGUGAUGGCCUACCAAGGCGGUGACGGUUAGCCGGCAUGAGAGGGUGGACGGGCACAGUGGGACGGAGAGACGGCCUAGAGUCUGACGGGGGGCAGCAGUGGGGGAUAUUGCACAAAGGGCGAAAGACUGAUUCAGCGACGACGAGGGGGGCAUGAAGGCUUUAGGGUUGUAAACCUGUUUAGCUAUCGAACGGGUACGUGGAGAAGAAGCGCCGGCUAACUACGUGCCAGCAGCCGCGGUAAUUC